UUGUUUACCCUUUCCUUCUCUUUAUACUUGACGCUCUUGUUUUGGUUGACACAAUAAUUAAAGUCUUGUGAUAAAAAUAAGGAAAAUGUUCAACAACGUGUGUGGAUCAAUUUCUUGCGACAAACUGGACCGAGUUGCCAACUGGGUUGGCUCAAACGUUGCUUAUGCUUUCUUUGCUUCAUUGGAACGUUGUUCUUGUAUCAACCUUAGCACUACUGAUACCGAAGAUGAAAACAAUGAUGAUCGUCCUCUUAUGGUUACCAAUUCUCUUUCUCAUUUACCCUUUGAGGGCCCCACCACUACCAACAACCCUCUUUCAUCAAAAUCCAACCUUCGUCCUUGAUUCAUCAAAUUCUCACUCUUUUCUCUUUUGGGGACAAGUAAUUAAAAGUUGAAGAUAAUUUUAUUCAUAUUAUUACUAUUUUUAUGCAUCAUGAUCAUUUGAAGAAUGGCAGACCAAAUGUCUGAGUUAGACAGUGUAUGGCAACAUUUAUGGUUCCUUGUUUGCUAGUGGAUGUUUCCUAAAAUAACAAAGCUCUAUCUGUGACCAAAAGCUGAUAGUUUAUUUAUCGUAGUCACUUUCUUUCCUUAUGCUGCCUUCCUGCAAUUUGUUCAUAACUUUUACUUUUUCAAAUUAUAAUCUUGAUUUUGAAUAAUAUAAUCAAAUCAUUAAUUGUGAUUGUUAUGUGUUUGAGUAAUUCGAAUAAAAA